AUGCUGGACAUGAGCGAGGCCCGCGCCCAGCCGCCCUGCAGCCCGUCUGGCACUGCCAGCUCCAUGUCGCACGUGGAGGACUCGGACUCGGAUGCGCCGCCCUCGCCCGCAGGUUCCGAGGGUCUGGGCCGCGCGGCGGGCGCGGGGGGCGGCGGCCGGGGCGACGCGGCCGAGGCGGCGGAUGAGCGCUUCCCCGCCUGCAUCCGCGACGCCGUGUCGCAGGUGCUCAAGGGCUACGACUGGAGCCUGGUGCCCAUGCCCGUGCGCGGCGGCGGCGGCGGCGCGCUCAAGGCGAAGCCGCACGUGAAGCGGCCCAUGAACGCCUUCAUGGUGUGGGCGCAGGCGGCGCGCCGCAAGCUGGCGGAUCAGUACCCGCACCUGCACAACGCCGAGCUCAGCAAGACACUGGGCAAGCUGUGGCGCCUGCUGAGUGAGACUGAGAAGCGUCCCUUCGUGGAGGAGGCGGAGCGGCUGCGCGUCCAACACAAGAAGGACCACCCCGAUUACAAGUACCAGCCGCGCCGCAGGAAGAGCGUGAAGACCGGCCAGAGCGACUUGGACUCGGGCGCCGAGCUGGGCCACCACCCGGGUGGCGUGUACAAGACCGAUGCCGGCCUGGGGGACACGCACCACCACGGUGACCACACAGGGCAGACCCACGGGCCGCCCACCCCGCCCACCACCCCCAAGACUGACCUGCACCACGGGGGCAAGCAGGAGCUGAAGCUGGAAGGCCGCCGCCUGGUGGACAGCGGGCGUCAGAACAUUGACUUCAGCAACGUGGACAUCUCCGAGCUGAGCAGUGAGGUCAUCGGGAACAUGGACACCUUCGAUGUCCACGAGUUCGACCAGUACCUGCCCCUCAACGGCCACUCGGCCCUGCCCGCCGAGCCUGGCCAGCCCGCGGCGGCCGGCUCCUUCGGGAGCGCAUCCUACUCGCACUCCGGGGCGGCCGGCAUGGGGGCGUCCCCCGUGUGGGCUCACAAGGGCGCACCGUCGGCCUCCGCGUCGCCCACCGAGGCGGGCCCCCCGCGGCCGCACAUCAAGACGGAGCAGCUGAGCCCCGGGCACUACGGCGACCAGUCACACGGCUCCCCGGGCCACACCGACUAUGGCUCCUACAGUGCGCAGGCCAGCGUCACCACCGCCGCCCCUGCCGCGGCCGCCAGCUCCUUCACCAGCUCGCAGUGUGACUACACCGACCUGCAGGCGCCCAGCUACUAUGGCCCGUUCCCCGGCUACCCGUCCGGCCUCUACCAGUACCCCUACUUCCACUCACCCCGCCGGCCCUACGCCUCGCCCCUGCUCGGGGGCCUGUCUGUGCCGCCCGCCCACAGCCCCCCCAGUAACUGGGAGCAGCCGGUGUACACCACCCUGACCAGACCCUGAGGGUGCGGCCGCGGGAGGGGGCCGGCCAAGGACUGCCUCGCCCCGGCAGAGACACACAGGCCUCCGGGGUCUCGGAAGGUGCAGCGAGGGCAGGCGCUGCGGCUGCGUCAAGUGCCUGCCGAGGCCCGUGAGGAGCCAGGCUGUGCGAACGAGCCCCCUCUGCUUACAGAUUUCCAGACCCCCAUCCACGGACAAAGCCCUCCUUCUCUUCCCUCUCUCUUUGCGGGGACUGCGGCUCGGAAGCCCAGCCGGGCCCCACUUCCGAGCAGGCAUGGGUUUUGCAUCUCCCUGGCUGCAAAGUGGCAGCCACAGCACAAAAGACAAAAGGAGGGAAGAGGUGUGGGGGCUCCGGGCCCCCCGAGCUCCGGCCAGCCUUGGUACUGAGAACUCGUAGGGCCCACGGAUGACAUUCCCGCGGCCGGGAGGCGUCCGAGGGAACACGUCCUGGGACCAGCCCAUUAGACCCGAGGUGUUCCUUGUAGUUACAGUUCUUCCGAGCAAGGUUUGGCUGUGAUUAACACUUCUCUCUUUUUAUUUUAUUAUUUUUUUUUAAUUUUUAUUUUUGAAGCUUCAAUGUAUUUGAUUUGUUUUGAAAGCUGUUAAAAUGUAUUUAUGUUCUGUGUUAUUUUAUCUGUAAUUAAUGAAGUAAUCUGUGCAGAGAGUAGAAUUUAAGACGAGACAGAAGCCGGAGAGCUGAGGGUGAGGCAUGGGCGGGGCAGAGCGUGGGGGUCCUUGCUCCGAGUGGCAGGGCCCCAGCUCCGGGUCUCCCGGAGGUGGCUGGAGCCCCGAGGCAGGAGAAGGGGCUUGUCUUGUGGUUUCUCUGAUCAGGUUGGGGUACCCCUGGCACGGGCAUUAAGUCAAGGUUUAGGAGGCAGAGUGCCACUGAAUUUCACCCCUGCCCGUGGCCGUGCCAAGUGGUGGAGGCGGGGAUUUCCUGGGACUCGGUGGCUCCAAAAACGCAUUAAUCUUGGCUCUUAGGAACCAGGCGCCACCUACAAGCUGUGAAACUAGAACCUUCUCCACUAAGCGUUUUUAGAUUCUUAGUUUUAGAAGAAAAAUGCCGAUUUACCUGUCCUGCUUCCGCUGUGCGCUGAGCGACGAUAACUGCCUACUUCCUGGAAAAUUGUGCCUUUAAAACUUUGUAAAUUUAAGUACAUCUGAGAUGUUGCUUCUUUUUACUUUUUCUACUUUUUCCUACCUUUUUCUAGAAAAAAAAAUUUUUUUUUUUUUUUUGCAUAUGUCUUCCUGGGGGUGGGGGCAGGGGGCUGCAGCAACUCGUUUUUAUGCAAUCUAUUUUUCGGUGUCAAGUUUGAACUUUCGCUGUCACUUACCUGCUGUGUUUCGCUCCUUUCUGACCAAGCAAUGCUAACUUUUGUACAGAUCAAUUUGAUAAAAAUUAAAAAAUGCUUUUUAUCUA